rnacentral:misc_RNA from 1 species
ACAGUAUCAAUAACAAUUGUCGUUUCUUUGAUAGAUCUUCCUAAAACGGCAACUUUGAAAAUAAUAGAACCUUACUAUCUUUGAAAUUCCGGACAUCUAUGAAACGCGAAGCGAUACCAAACUUUUAGUCAGCGACGUAUAUUUACACGCACAGACGUACAAUGAACUUUUUUCUCGUACAAACUUCCGUCUAACCUUUUUGAAGUAUAAAAAUGUUUCUUCUGAAGUCUCAUACCGAGACACAUGUUGGAUUAU